rnacentral:rRNA from 1 species
AGAGUUUGAUCCUGGCUCAGGACGAACGCUGGCGGCGUGCCUAAUACAUGCAAGUAGAACGCUGAAGGAGGAGCUUGCUUCUCUGGAUGAGUUGCGAACGGGUGAGUAACGCGUAGGUAACCUGCCUGGUAGCGGGGGAUAACUAUUGGAAACGAUAGCUAAUACCGCAUAAGAGUGGAUGUUGCAUGACAUUUGCUUAAAAGGUGCACUUGCAUCACUACCAGAUGGACCUGCGUUGUAUUAGCUAGUUGGUGGGGUAAGGGCUCACCAAGGCGACGAUACAUAGCCGACCUGAGAGGGUGAUCGGCCACACUGGGACUGAGACACGGCCCAGACUCCUACGGGAGGCAGCAGUAGGGAAUCUUCGGCAAUGGACGGAAGUCUGACCGAGCAACGCCGCGUGAGUGAAGAAGGUUUUCGGAUCGUAAAGCUCUGUUGUAAGAGAAGAACGAGUGUGAGAGUGGAAAGUUCACACUGUGACGGUAUCUUACCAGAAAGGGACGGCUAACUACGUGCCAGCAGCCGCGGUAAUACGUAGGUCCCGAGCGUUGUCCGGAUUUAUUGGGCGUAAAGCGAGCGCAGGCGGUUAGAUAAGUCUGAAGUUAAAGGCUGUGGCUUAACCAUAGUAGGCUUUGGAAACUGUUUAACUUGAGUGCAAGAGGGGAGAGUGGAAUUCCAUGUGUAGCGGUGAAAUGCGUAGAUAUAUGGAGGAACACCGGUGGCGAAAGCGGCUCUCUGGCUUGUAACUGACGCUGAGGCUCGAAAGCGUGGGGAGCAAACAGGAUUAGAUACCCUGGUAGUCCACGCUGUAAACGAUGAGUGCUAGGUGUUAGACCCUUUCCGGGGUUUAGUGCCGUAGCUAACGCAUUAAGCACUCCGCCNAACAGUUUGUGCGUAAUCGGCAGAAUAGACCUUUUUGUAUAGCCCUUUUCUCACUUGUUGUAAAGUUGUACCUCUUUUGACUUCAUUAUGAAUCGUUUGAGGCGCCUUUCCUAACAAGCCUGCAAUUUCACGAUUGGACUUAUUUUCAUUCUUCCACCGCUCAAUCAAGCGACGGUUAUCUAUUGUCAAAUGUUUCCCUUUUGGGGUAUAAUGUUCUUGCAUCUCUGUGCCUUUCCUUGUGUUUGUGGUGAACAACAAGUAUAGCACAGAGGUGUUUUCUUAUACCUUAAAUCACAUUUCAUUUGACAACAGGAACCCUUGAACCUGUUUUUUCAGCUAAACCAAGGCUAUGAUUAGCCUUGGCCACCUAGCCUAACAGUUUCAAACCUGUUAUCAAAUGAAAUCAUCAACUUACUCAAACAUAGUGAAACAUCUAAUUCUUGACUAAGGUAAGGUGGCUAACUUCAUUAUAGAACUUUCAAUCACAUUCGAAUUACAUAUUUUAGAGAAAAAAUCU